GCCUAAGGUGAGGGCGAGAGCCGUAGCCGAUGGACAACAGGUUGAUAUUCCUGUACUGCAGUAUAACAGAACCGUGGGGACACGUAAGGAGAGCGGGAGCCGGGAAUGGAAAGCCCGGUACAAGCGAGGUACCAGUAUGGUAGGAAAAACCGCCAUGCAAUGGGAAGACGUGAUGUGGAGUGAAAUAUAGUAACGAAGCCCGUGAGCCAUGCGUCAAGAAAAGCCGCUAUUGUUUAUAUUGUACCCGUACCGUAAACCGACACAGGUGGAUGAGGAGAGAAUCCUAAGGCCGGCGGAAGAAGUAUUGCCAAGGAACUCGGCAAAAUGGCCCCGUAACUUAGGGAGAAGGGGUGCCUGCGAGAGCAGGCCGCAGAGAAUAGGCUCAAGCAACUGUUUAGCAAAAACACAGGUCUAUGCGAAACCGAAAGGUGAGGUAUAUGGGCUGACGCCUGCCCGGUGCUGGAAGGUUAAGAGGAGAGGUUAGACGCAAGUCGAAGCUUUGAAUUUAAGCCCCAGUAAACGGCGGCCGUAACGAUAACGGUCCUAAGGUAGCGAAAUUCCUUGUCGGGUAAGUUCCGACCCGCACGAAAGGCGUAAUGAUUUGAGCGCUGUCUCGGCAAUACAUCCGGUGAAAUUGAAGUGCCAGUGAAGAUGCUGGCUACCCGCGCCAGGACGGAAAGACCCCAUGGAGCUUUACUCCAGUUUGGCACUGGGGUCCGGUGUUGCAUGUACAGGAUAGGUGGGAGGCUGAGAGAUAGUGACGUCAGUUGCUAUGGAGCCGCUGUUGGGAUACCACCCUUGUGAUAUUGGGCUUCUAACCAGCCGCCGUGAACCGGCGGUGGGACAAUGCCAGGCGGGGAGUUUGACUGGGGCGGUCGCCUCCGAAAGGGUAUCGGAGGCGCCCAAAGGUUCCCUCAGAAUGGACGGAAACCAUUCGAAGAGUGCAAAGGCAGAAGGGAGCUUGACUGCGACACCGACGGGUGGAGCAGGUACGAAAGUAGGGCUUAGUGAUCCGGUGGUAUUAAGUGGGAAUGCCAUCGCUCAACGGAUAAAAGCUACCCUGGGGAUAACAGGCUUAUCACUCCCAAGAGUUCACAUCGACGGAGUGGUUUGGCACCUCGAUGUCGGCUCAUCGCAUCCUGGGGCUGUAGUAGGUCCCAAGGGUUGGGCUAUUCGCCCAUUAAAGCGGUACGCGAGCUGGGUUCAGAACGUCGUGAGACAGUUCGGUCCCUAUCCGGCGUGGGCGUAGGAUAUCUGAGAGGGGCUGUCCUUAGUACGAGAGGACCGGGAUGGACGGACCGCUGGUGGACCGGUUGGCUUGCCAAAGCCAUGGCCGGGUAGCCAAGUCCGGAAGGGAUAAACGCUGAAGGCAUCUAAGCGUGAAGCCCCCCUCAAGAUGAGAUAUCCCAUUCUUUAAGAAGUAAACCCCCUUGAAGACGACGAGGUAGAUAGGGCAGAGGUGGAAGUGUGGUAACACAUGGAGCUGACUGUUACUAAUCGGGUGAGGGCUUGAUC
rnacentral:rRNA from 1 species